UAUUUAGUAAAUUAUUACUAAAAGUUCGAGAUAUCGGUGAUUUACUUAAUAGGUUUAUUUGUCAUUACGAACAUAUUGUCUUAAGAUAUACAGAAGAAAGACAAGCAAUUAACUAACUACAAGUGAUCGUAAAUCAACUUUGCAUUCGCUAAUUUUAGCUUAAGUAGUUAGAAAUUACUUAAUUUCGAACAUUCAUCAUCCGUUGGGUGAAUAAAACGCCUUAAUUCCCCUCUCCGCGCAUGCGUAUUGCCCCGCCGCCAUUAUCCUAUAUAACCUCAGAGCGCCACCAACGUGACGUAGUCGAAAUCGAAAGGUGUAGGUGCGAAUAAUGGAAAGGUGGCGUCCAUAUUUUGUUUUAUUAAUCGAUUAUCACCGGAGCUAGCAGUGCGAGAGUCGACGUUAAAGUCGUGAAAGUGAAGCAGUGUGAGUUUCGACGUGUCAUCCGCGUAGAUCGACAGUGGUUCGAGGCCGAGAGAGGCGGAAUUGCCUGGUCGACGUAGAAACGGCAACCAUCUUGUUUUUGUGUAAGUCGUGCAAUAGCGCUCUGCUCCGCGGACGCCCAACUACCGCUAAAGUGAUAAGUGAACUCCGUAUUGAAGUGUUAAGUGAAGUGUGCGCGAUGAACUGCCAGGCACAACAGCAACGGAGUCGCAGGCGCGUGGUUCGCAGUGCGCUGCCCAUGGCCUUGGCUCGGCGUGAGCGCGAGCGGCGCGAUGAGCGCUACGCCGCGGCCAAAUGGGAAGCAUCGCCCCAUCCUACCGCUCUGCCGAUUCCGCCCAACCACUGGUUCCGCGAUGGCCGUUGCCGACUGGAACCCGAUCACGCCCUGCCGCUCAAACUCAUUCUCAACGUCACCUGUGCAUCGGCGUAAUCCCCAGAGACUCUAGUAACUAGUUAAGUGCACGGGGGUGUAGUCUGUCGCUGAACUGCGGUGGUAGACUACACCACCGAUUCUCUUGUGCUAAGUUUUUUAUUUGAUGACGCGAUAAUCGCCGUCCGAAGCCGCGCCUACCUUGGCGACUUGGCGGCGUCUAAAUUCCGGCGUUAGGUAUUAUUUUUGUGAAAAUUUUAGUAGAUAAGAGUAAGCGUAGCACGGUCGCGUCGCUGUGGUGCCCCCAAACCCUUUAAAAUGAGAAAAAUGUAAAAAAAAAUAUAGCGGGCGCGGGUAACCACUAUAGCGGGGCGAUGGUGCAGCGUAGCCCGGCGCUUCGCCCCUCGACACCUUCGCCUUGUAACUCCAAACGGUCCGCGGCGCUACUGUGAUGUUUGUUGCUGCUGCGCCGACGCCUUGCCCUAUUUGUUAUAGGAUUGAGUUUUAUCUUGACUGAAGUCUACUUAAGUUUUAAAUUUUCGGGCGAGACGUACUGCUCGGCGGCGCGCCCGGCUAGUCUUGCCGUUGCAAGGAUAGAAACGUUGCAUUUCUUUUAUAAAUGAGGCGUUAUAUUAUAUUUUUUGAUUGAAGGUUUGAGGCUCGAACGGCCGGGCCUAGGGGUCAACCCGCUAGUCGUAUCGUUUUAUUUAUCGAGACCAAUGUAUUUUUAUUUGUAACAUACAGUCUCGCUGCAGCGGUUGGUCCACAAUUUAAUUGAAGAACUGCACAGUGCAUUGUAACCCGCUGGAAGAGAGCUUUAAAAAAUAAUUAAGCGAUGACUGCAUGUCCUUAAUUCUAGUUGUAGUAUAAAAAUUAAACGAUACGGUAAAGAAAAGCAAGUGUUAUCAAAUUGGAAGAUUAUAUAUGUUUGUACAGAGAGUAUAUUGAUCUCAUGCUGCGGGCGUCUGUGGCCUGUCGUAGAGCUUCUGUGAUGUACAAAAAAAAGUAUAUUUGGAAUUUUACAAGUUUUUUAUAAUAUUAGUUUGUAAUGUAUACUUUUAAGUGAAGAUAGUGACGUGGUGGCGUCGUUACCACGUCUGGAGUCGCUCGCAGCAUCCCAGUCCUUACCUUUUCCCAUCCUUCAGUCCUGUCCAGUCCCAGGGCUCUUCGGAGCCCGCCAAAUAUUUCUAUGUAUCAAACGAUUAAACGUACCAAACCACAUAGUGGUUACCUUCUAUCAACUUCAAGAUGAAGAAAGAAUAUUGAUGGUCAAGAUAGAAGAUGCCAGCCAAGUCAAGACCGCAAAAGGAUGGCCAACAUUCUGAUGAACAGGGGGAAGAGGCAGUAGGCUCACCUUUUAUUAAGUAAUACCGCCGCCCAUGGACACAAUGCCUGGCCUUUUAAGAAUUGGUACGCAAUUGGACACUAAGUAGAAUCACAUAGGUCAUAGCAGUCUACGCGCAGGCAGGGGUCUGAUACUUCUGAUAUCUGAGUCUCAGUGACGAAGAAAAAGACGCAGUUUCUAGCGUUGAUGGGGUUGGUAAGUUAUCCAAUUUGACCCUAGAUAAAUUACCUGAUUAAUUAUUAUUAUUUCAGAUUAAUAUUUACAUAAAUAUAUUCGUACAGACUGUAUAUGGUAGUGUAGAGUCACUAAGAGGAGGGUAAGAAAACACCUUAAUGGUGAAUUCCCAGACAGGUGCAUCAGUCGCGUUGGACCCUUUAAAGGACCCCGACCUAAACCCAAUAGAUUUCUUUGUGUGGGGAUACUGUAACCAGUGUACUCAAAAGAAUAAUAGAAUACUUGCGAAGAAAAUUUAAGGCCAAAAGGACAAUUAAACACUAGCUUUUAUUUAUUUACUUAUUCACACUUCGUUGCAAAGAAACACAAAUAACA